GAACAAGAGAGCGCAUAGGAAGCUUUCAGCAGUGGUGCGACUGGUCAGACAGCUGCUUAUACUAACGUUGAAGGGAGUGUAUUGUCAAGAAAAACUUCAAACACGCCAGAUAAUGAACAUCUUUAAUGAGACGUAUACGAUGGCCUACGUCUUCACGAUGUAGGAGUCAGCUCCCCUUAUGCCAGCCUGUCAUAGCCAAAAUUCACAAAUUAAUUAUAGCCGAUGUAAUACUGACUCCACUACUGGAAACUUAAAAAUAAACAGAACAAUCAUUUUUGAAAACUGCAAUAUACUUUUUUCCAAAGGUCAGUCUUGCUAAUGAUCAGUCUUUCACACCUCAUCAAACCUGCACGUUGUCAUAGUUUUUAAAACAAAUAAUUAGGUUUCCAAUUGAAUAGUUUUAUAUAAUUAACAGCUCUCUGGAAAUCUGUCUUUAUUUAAAAGUUGAAAUGGUCUUCUCCAGAAGUCAUCCUCAUCUUCCCACUGACAUAAAAUGUUUGCAAAGGCAAAUAUACACGUUGAGUUGCUACAGAAAGAUUGUUCAUAUCUCGUACAAUUACCACAUUCACAAUAAGAUAGUUUAUGAUUAACUUAGGCUCAGCCUUCUCCUUAAGACAUUACAAGCUUCAAGCAUGAAUUGAAGAUGAACAAUCACUGCGCUGCACAAACAAAAAUAAGGGAUCAAAUCAAUGGAAGAACUUACAGUGUCGCAUUGCGCUUCAAAUAGAUUGUGUGAUAAUUUACUUCCAUAAUGCAAAAGGAGUGUUUUAGUUUUUUUAUACGAUUUCCUGUACAUUGUAAAAUUCAUUCUAAAGUGUCUGUGUUAAUGUAUGUAAAGAAUUUUAAAAAAUGUCUUAACAGGUGGAGUGAAUGAUCAAAAUUAAAAUGUUUACCAUUUAA